UACGUAGGGUGCGAGCGUUGUCCGGAAUUAUUGGGCGUAAAGAGCUCGUAGGCGGCUUGUCGCGUCGGCUGUGAAAUCCCGUGGCUCAACUGCGGGUCUGCAGCCGAUACGGGCAGGCUAGAGUUCGGUAGGGGAGACUGGAAUUCCUGGUGUAGCGGUGAAAUGCGCAGAUAUCAGGAGGAACACCGGUGGCGAAGGCGGGUCUCUGGGCCGGUACUGACGCUGAGACGCGAAAGCGUGGGGAGCGAACAGG
rnacentral:rRNA from 1 species